CGGAUCGCAGGCUGCAACCCGCCUGCGUGAAGUUGGAAUCGCUAGUAAUCGCGGAUCAGCAUGCCGCGGUGAAUACAUUCCCGGGCCUUGUACACACCGCCCGUCACACCAUGAGAGUCGGGAACACCCGAAGUCCGUAGCCUAACAGCAAUGGGGGCGCGGCCGAAGGUGGGUUCGAUAAUUGGGGUGAAGUCGUAACAAGGUAAC
rnacentral:rRNA from 1 species